UGGAUUUACCAUUUCUUUUUUGUUUGUUUUUGUUUUGUUUUAAGGAACUAGCUUUUUGUUUGUUUUUCUAUUUUGUGCGUGUGUGUUCAGUUCCGUUUAUUUCUGCUCAUUUCCUUUCUUCUAUUUGCUUUGGGUUAUUUUCCCCCACCUGAGUUCUUCAAGUAAGAGCUUAAAGGACUGAUUUGAGACUUUUUUCUUUUCUUUCUUUUUUUUUUUUUUUUUUUUUUUUUUUUUUUUUUUUUUUUGGCCGGGCUGGUCUCCAACUCCUGACCUUGUAAUCCACGCGCCUCGGCCUCCCAAAGUGCUGGGA
rnacentral:lncRNA from 1 species